GUAAUAAAUCUACAAGCAAGGAAAUCAUCAAAGAUUCAAGAUUGAAGACGGAGAGAAACAGGCGCCAUUAUUUGCCUUGCUCUCUCUCUCUCUCUCUCUCUCUCGAACUUUGUGUCCCCAACUAUCCGAAGCCACUUGCAACGUCUCCUUUUUCUUCUUUCAAAUAAGAAAAAAGUUAAAUAACGGACUCGGUGUAAAUACAAUACAAACAUAGGUCAACACACCCUCCUAAAUCCCUAUUCACCUACUCCCCUUGUUCUUCCUCAAGCGGCUUUGAUUUCACGACCAAGCAGAUCAGACAUUUUAUGGAUAAAGAAGGACUUGGCAAGGAGGCUCCUGAAGAAGUGACUCGUGAGUCGCUUAUUUCCAUUUCUUACUCUGAACCAGAGAAGAAUCUGACUUCAAAUCUCUCUUCUGGAAAGUCGAAUGGUGAGGCAAUAGAUGCUGAUGGAGAAGAGAAGUUUAGGUCUGAACUGAUCUCCAUUUCCUAUGCAGAGUCACCGGAAGUUGGAGGCUUACCGGUUACCAUGGGAGAACUUAAAGGCUAGGGUGCAGGCGGUUCCCGUAUUAAUAGAAACCAAGUAAUACUGUGUGUAUGGACUUGUAUUGUGUGGAAGCUGUUUACAUAUUCUGUAAAAUAAACCUUAGAGUUCCUUGAGACAAUGAAUUAAAAAACCAUUCCUGUCUUCUGUGUCCGUGUGCUGCUGAUUGUGAAAUCUGAGUUUUGUAUAUGCUGCCUCAAAUUUUAUUCUAAAUCUUUUGGCACUUCUGUUAUC